AGAUUAAGAUUUGACUGUUGUUGCAUAUAUCAGAAUUCAGAAGCUUUUACAGUGGAUGAUGCUAAGGAUUCAAUCCUUAAGGCUUAAUCUGUUAUUACAUGAGACGGGCACUAAAAUAAUAUCCACAUAUAUGAGAACUCAAUAACGAAAAUGACCUCUCAAUUUAUUUCAGACAGGAAUACUCUAAAUCAUACGUUCAUGCUGGAGAUCCACACGCAAACUUGAAGAUGCCAGCCUACAUUAUUCAUGAAUUAUUAUAUAAUAAUAUGCAGACACGUGCAUUUGGAUAAACCAUAUAUUUUCACUGUAAAUGAUGUUUACUUGAUGC
rnacentral:misc_RNA from 1 species